rnacentral:rRNA from 1 species
GAGUUUGAUCCUGGCUCAGAUUGAACGCUGGCGGCAUGCCUUACACAUGCAAGUCGAACGGCAGCACGGGAGCAAUCCUGGUGGCGAGUGGCGAACGGGUGAGUAAUACAUCGGAACGUGCCCUGUCGUGGGGGAUAACUAGUCGAAAGAUUAGCUAAUACCGCAUACGACCUGAGGGUGAAAGCGGGGGACCGUAAGGCCUCGCGCGAUAGGAGCGGCCGAUGUCUGAUUAGCUAGUUGGUGGGGUAAAGGCCCACCAAGGCGACGAUCAGUAGCUGGUCUGAGAGGACGAUCAGCCACACUGGGACUGAGACACGGCCCAGACUCCUACGGGAGGCAGCAGUGGGGAAUUUUGGACAAUGGGGGCAACCCUGAUCCAGCAAUGCCGCGUGUGUGAAGAAGGCCUUCGGGUUGUAAAGCACUUUUGUCCGGAAAGAAAUCCCUUGCCCUAAUACGGCGGGGGGAUGACGGUACCGGAAGAAUAAGCACCGGCUAACUACGUGCCAGCAGCCGCGGUAAUACGUAGGGUGCGAGCGUUAAUCGGAAUUACUGGGCGUAAAGCGUGCGCAGGCGGUUUUGUAAGACAGGCGUGAAAUCCCCGAGCUCAACUUGGGAAUGGCGCUUGUGACUGCAAGGCUAGAGUAUGUCAGAGGGGGGUAGAAUUCCACGUGUAGCAGUGAAAU